rnacentral:lncRNA from 1 species
AGCCCAGGAGGAGGGGAGUCCAGCUCGAGUGCCACAGCCUCUCCUGGGUCUCAACAUAAAGCUCAGUUCAGAGGCAUCCAGCUUCAUCGAGGGAAACAGGAGGGUGGCGAAUUCAAAGCCUCAGAAAACUGAGAAUGAAGUCAAUCAGAUUCCAGAGAUUUGUGAAGGAAAAGACAGGCUUCUUAUGGGUCAUGGAACGGAUUCCUUGAAAGCUGCUGGAGACACAUGCUAAGGACGAGAAUGAAAGGAUUAUCCUGAGUCCAGGAGUGGGAACCAGUGAACAUGCUGGAACUCUUUUGAUUCAAAAUGACGUACCAACAUUUGACUGGACAUUUGUCAGGGAGUGUUUAAGCCCUGGCUGUACCAAGCCCCACCAAAGGGGUUGAUCUUCCUAAGAUGCUGGCUCUAAGACAUGCUAGAAAUGAAACCAUCCUGGAGAGUAAUGAUGCUGAGGACUCCUACUACAAAGCCCAUUUCAUGAAGGAGAAAAAUGAAGCCCCAAAAUGCAUGCUGCUGACAUCACUGAAGCAAAACCUUGUCCUCAGGGCUCUGGACUUCAAAUGAGUUUUGUCUAUUGACAUAAUGUAGUUUUCUGGGGAUGUUUGUUGAGAUUCUAGAUGUCUCAGUAUAUGGCCAGGGUUGUUGGUUGGCAGAAGGGCAGAGCAGACCAGCUGGGUUCCAAAAGAGGACAGAGUCAGUCUGAAGGCUAUAAACGCUAUAUAGCACUGGACAAGCUAAAAGAACCUAGCUAGGACAGCUAGUGAGUGAAUGAAGUGAGCACUGCCCUUGGGACUUCUGGUACGGAAUCUAUAUACAUUUUGUUGGGCUGGUUAGUGUUGCUAUU